rnacentral:rRNA from 1 species
GGCUCAUUAACACGUGGUUAACAUACCCUCAGGUGGGGGAUAACCUUGGGAAACUGAGGAUAAUACCCCAUAGAAAAAGCAGUCUGGAACGAUUCUUUUUCGAAAGCAUAUGCGCCUGAGGAUUGGACUGCGCUCGAUUAGGUAGUUGGUGGGGUAAUGGCCCACCAAGCCUACGAUCGGUACGGGCCUUGAGAGAGGAAGCCCGGAGAUGGGGACUGAGACACGGCCCCAGGCCCUACGGGGCGCAGCAGGCGCGAAUCCUCCGCAAUGCACGAAAGUGCGACGGGGGGAUCCCAAGUGCUCAUGCACAGCAUGGGCUUUUAUCAAGUGUAAACAGCUUGAGGAAUAAGGGCUGGGCAAGUUCGGUGCCAGCAGCCGCGGUAACACCGACGGCCCGAGUGGUGGCCACUUUUAUUGGGCCUAAAGCGUCCGUAGCCGGUCCAGUAAGUCCUUGUUUAAAUCCUGCGGCUUAACCGCAGGACUGGCAGGGAUACUGCUGGACUUGGGACCGGGAGAGGACAAGGGUACUUCAGGGGUAGCGGUGAAAUGUGUUGAUCCUUGAAGGACCACCUAUGGCGAAGGCACUUGUCUGGAACGGGU